UCACCAGACUCCUACGGGAGGCAGCAGUGGGGAAUAUUGCACAAUGGGGGAAACCCUGAUGCAGCGACGCCGCGUGAGUGAAGAAGUAUUUCGGUAUGUAAAGCUCUAUCAGCAGGGAAGAAAAUGACGGUACCUGAGUAAGAAGCCCCGGCUAACUACGUGCCAGCAGCCGCGGUAAUACGUAGGGGGCAAGCGUUAUCCGGAUUUACUGGGUGUAAAGGGUGCGUAGGUGGCAUGACAAGUCAGAAGUGAAAGCCCGGGGCUCAACCCCGCGGACUGCUUUUGAAACUGUCAGGCUGGAGUACAGGAGAGGUAAGCGGAAUUCCUAGUGUAGCGGUGAAAUGCGUAGAUAUUAGGAGGAACACCAGUGGCGAAGGCGGCUUACUGGACUGUAACUGACACUGGGGCACGAAAGCGCGGGGAGCAAACAGGAUUAGAUACCCUCGUA
rnacentral:rRNA from 1 species